ACACUGUACAGUAUUUGUUUUUGUUUAGGCGAAUUCUGGUGUAGGCACAAUGUCAAAAACAGCUGAUUUAUAAUAUGAGGCGAAUUUGUAAAAAUUAAAAAAAAAAGUUGUUUGUAAAUAAAAGAUUUUUUGAAAUAUAAUAAAAUUGUUAAAAUUCUUCGAACACUCUUCGGUCUAGACAAGAAAAUGCUAAAAUAACGUUUGUCGGCUGAUCAGUGGAAGGCUUGUUUGCAGCAGAAGGACACAAAGGCUCAACAAUUAUUUAUGGAUAUAAUUAUUUUAAAUAAUUGCCUUUUCAAGUUUUUAGUGAAAUCUUAAACUACAUAGAACUAAAACAGAAUGGAAUAUAUAUCGUCAGUAUAUUA